CACGUAGGGUGCGAGCGUUGUCCGGAAUUAUUGGGCGUAAAGAGCUCGUAGGCGGUGUGUCGCUUCGGCCGUGAAAACCUGCAGCUUAACUGUGGGCGUGCGGUCGAUACGGGCAUCACUGGAGUUCGGCAGGGGAGACUGGAAUUCCUGGUGUAGCGGUGAAAUGCGCAGAUAUCAGGAGGAACACCGGUGGCGAAGGCGGGUCUCUGGGCCGAUACUGACGCUGAGGAGCGAAAGCGUGGGGAGCAAACAGG
rnacentral:rRNA from 1 species